rnacentral:lncRNA from 1 species
UAGCUCAGAAUUCUUUUCAUCUGUCUCCUGAGCUUCUAGGAAGGAGGUGCAAGCAAGUCCUUUCAGUCCCCUUCUGAGCACUGAGCUCCCCACUGGACACUGACAUCUCCUCCUUCCUCCUGUCUGUCUCUAUGUCUGUCUGUCCAUCUGUCCACUCAUCCUCUGGCCCAGCCUGGGCUGCCCCCUCUACUCUCCCUGCUCCUGUGCGUGAUCCCCAGCAAGGCCGUCCACCUCACCUACGAGCCGACCUGGCAGCUCCCAUCUGGGGGGCCGCCCACGACCCCCAACUCCGAUACCUCUCUCUCCUUCUCCCGACAGGUAAUGGCUCCUUUAGAGGCCCACCCCACCUCUCCCCUCUGGGCCUCAUUCACUGUGCAUGCAGCCCAGGGCAGCAGGGAAACCUGUGAAAUGUUCUCUCCUGUGUGCAUGAGCCUAUGUGCAUCCUGGACAUAGAGAGACCUGUGUGUUCCUAUGGGGACCCACGGGUUCUUAACAGGCCUGCUCUUGAUGUUCCUUCCAAAAGGAGUCAGUAGCAGCAUUCAGGCCAAGGCCCUGGAUCCAAGUCUGUAAUUUUGCAGUGCCAAGAAACUUAAUGUACACCCAGACACAAACUGUUGUUCUAAAUUCUUUGGUGCAAAGGGCAGACACGACCUCUUCUUUGCCUGGACUCUGCUCCCCUGCAUGGCUGCUGAGGACAGGCCUGAUGGUCCACUGAGCCCUCCUGCAUCUCCCUGCUCUUCUCUCCGUUCGCUUU